rnacentral:tRNA from 1 species
GCGCCUGUGGCGAAAUUGGUAGACGCGCCAGACUUAGGAUCUGGUAUCGCGAGAUGUGUAGGUUCGAGUCCUAUCAGGCGCA